rnacentral:rRNA from 1 species
GAUGAACGCUGGCGGCGUGCCUAAUACAUGCAAGUCGAGCGAACAGACGAGGAGCUUGCUCCUCUGACGUUAGCGGCGGACGGGUGAGUAACACGUGGAUAACCUACCUAUAAGACUGGGAUAACUUCGGGAAACCGGAGCUAAUACCGGAUAAUAUAUUGAACCGCAUGGUUCAAUAGUGAAAGACGGUUUUGCUGUCACUUAUAGAUGGAUCCGCGCCGCAUUAGCUAGUUGGUAAGGUAACGGCUUACCAAGGCAACGAUGCGUAGCCGACCUGAGAGGGUGAUCGGCCACACUGGAAAUGAGACACGGUCAAGACUCCUACGGGAGGAAGCAGUAGGGAAUCUUCCGCAAUGGGCGAAAGCUUGACGGAGCAACGCCGCGUGAGUGAUGAAGGUCUUCGAAUCGUAAAACUCUGUUAUUAGGGAAGAACAAAUGUGUAAGUAACUAUGCACGUCUUGACGGUACCUAAUCAGAAAGCCACGGCUAACUACGUG